UGCCCAGCAAAUUCUAUUCCUACCUCCUCACGGUACCGGAAACUAUGAGUAGCCUUAGGGAAGAUUGGGUAACCAAACCCGGUGGGAACUUUGGUCGUUGGCUGACAGGGAAGG
rnacentral:ribozyme from 1 species